rnacentral:rRNA from 1 species
AUUGCCCUAGUAACGGCGAGUGAAGCGGCAACAGCUCAAAUUUGAAAUCUGCCUUCGGGCCGAGUUGUAAUUUGUAGAGGAAGCUUUUGGUGAGGCACCUUCUGAGUCCCCUGGAACGGGGCGCCAUAGAGGGUGAGAGCCCCGUAUAGUCGGAUGCCGAUCCAAUGUAAAGCUCCUUCGACGAGUCGAGUAGUUUGGGAAUGCUGCUCAAAAUGGGAGGUAAAUUUCUUCUAAAGCUAAAUACCGGCCAGAGACCGAUAGCGCACAAGUAGAGUGAUCGAAAGAUGAAAAGCACCUUGAAAAGGGGGUUAAAUAGCACGUGAAAUUGUUGAAAGGGAAGCGUUUGCGGCCAGACUUGCGCCGCCCCGAUCAUCCGGUGUUCUCACCGGUGCACUCGGGGCGGCGCAGGCCAGCAUCGGUUUCGGCGGGGGGAUAAAGGUCCGGGGAACGUAGCUCCUCCGGGAGUGUUAUAGCCCCGGGCGUAAUGCCCUCGCCGGGACCGAGGUUCGCGCAUCUGCAAGGAUGCUGGCGUAAUGGCCGCCAACGACCCGUCUUGAAACACGGACCAAGGAGUCAAGGUUUUGCGCGAGUGUUUGGGUGUAAAACCCGCACGCGUAAUGAAAGUGAACGUAGGUGAGAGCUUCGGCGCAUCAUCGACCGAUCCUGAUGUAUUCGGAUGGAUUUGAGUAAGAGCGUUAAGCCUUGGACCCGAAAGAUGGUGAACUAUGCUUGGAUAGGGUGAAGCCAGAGGAAACUCUGGUGGAGGCUCGCAGCGGUUCUGACGUGCAAAUCGAUCGUCAAAUCUGAGCAUGGGGGCGAAAGACUA